rnacentral:lncRNA from 1 species
GAUCAGUCAUGCAUGGCAAGAUAUUCAGUGAGCUCCCCACCCCACCCUGAGUCCCUCCUUCCUCCAAGAAGAACAGUGCUCCAUGUGGAUAUCCCACCAGCCUUGGCCCAGGUUCCUCCCUGAAGAAAAGCUUCCCCAAACAUUCAGCAUACCUUCCCUGUUAUCUCACCCAACCCCUCAAAACCCAGAACAAAAUUAUGGGAGUGAAGAUGUUCCCGGGGCUGAGCCUGCCUUUCCUCUGCACCCAGACACUCAGUGGCCAAUUUCUACGUGAAAGUUGUUGUUCCAGCAGACAAAACCCAAGUGUGCCACAGACCACACCUGUAUAGUCAGUGCCUGGAUCACUCAGACUCUGCUUUGAAGCUUAUUGAGUUUCCCACAUCCACAUGCUCUUUCCUAAGAGACAUCUUCCUUCUGCGCCUAGACUGAGGACAAAGACUGGGACACCUCUGCUGUCGCAGGGAGGGCUCCAUAAAUACCAUGCUUAUGUAGUUUGAUCCCUGAUUCAUGGGCCCAUGACUGGCUAGCAAGGUCCAUACCCCACAGCUGUCCUCCCAGCCUAGCAUCACAGAGCAGAGUACCUCAGCCAAAAAUCCAGCCUGUGCUCCUGUAGUAAUGGGAGGACAGACACCUUUCCUUCUUGGUAAAGCAAGGGAACUCCAGAAAGGGGAAGCAGAGGAAGUGGCCUGCACAGCAGAACCUCCCCUUGCCUGUGGUAACCCUCACUCUGCAGGACUGCUUAUCCUUCACCACCAUUUGGAAGGCAAAGGAAAGAGGAGAAAGGUUGUGGGAGGAGCCACCAGUGAACUGGGAGGAGGAUUAUUCAGUCUCCUGGAGGAAAGGUAACUCAUCAGUUCACAGCUAG